UCUGGUUUUGAGAGAGCUGAUCCUUCUUGCUUUUUCUGGAAUGUUCCUGCGACUAUGGACAGGAAUGUUGCAGAAUUUUGUGAAAGAGAGCGGAAAAUCACAUGCGUUUAAUCUGCCAUCACGAAUUGGAAUAUAUCACCUAAACUCUCAAUGAUCCCAAGGACUUUGAAAUUGUAGGUCAAGGAGGAUUGUGGUUAAAAUUCUGAUUUAGGGACCUCAGGAAAUACUUGCCCAGUUAAAUGACUAUAUCUACUCAUCAGGAUAUGACCUUUCAGCCUGCUUCAAUAUGGAUAGAUGAAGCACAUGGGGCUCAGAGAAUUAAAUACCAUACCAAAGAUCACCCAACCAUCUAGUGGUGGAGCUGGAUUUGAACCAAUGUGUCAUAUUCUAAGGCUUGUGCAUUAUUCAAAUAUCCAGAGCCAAGAAAUACAAAGCACCCCUAAUAGAAUCAACUCAAGAAGAUCUUCU